rnacentral:rRNA from 1 species
GACGAACCGUGCGAACGUUAUUCGGAAUCACUGGGCUUAAAGCGCGUGUAGGCGGGCCGGCACGUCGGUCGCUGAAAUCCCCCGGCUCAACCGGGGAAGGGGCGCCGAUACGACCGGCCUGGAGGGGGGUAGGGGGCGCUGGAACUCACGGUGGAGCGGUGAAAUGCGUUGAGAUCCGGAGGAACACCAGAGGCGCAGGCGGCUUGCUGGGUCUGUAUUGACGCUCAGACACGAAAGCAUGGGGAGCGAACGGG